rnacentral:rRNA from 1 species
GGACUACACGGGUUUCUAAUCCUGUUUGCUCCCCACGCUUUCGCGCCUCAGCGUCAGUAAUGGCCCAGUGUGUCGCCUUCGCCACUGGUGUUCUUCCGAAUAUCUACGAAUUUCACCUCUACACUCGGAGUUCCACACACCUCUGCCAUACUCAAGGUCGCCAGUAUUGAAGGCAAUUCCAGGGUUGAGCCCUGGGCUUUCACCCCCAACUUAACGACCCGCCUACGCGCCCUUUACGCCCAGUAAUUCCGAGCAACGCUAGCCCCCUUCGUAUUACCGCGGCUGCUGGCAC